CCUACGGGAGGCAGCAGUGAGGAAUAUUGGUCAAUGGACGAGAGUCUGAACCAGCCAAGUCGCGUGAAGGAUGACUGCCCUAUGGGUUGUAAACUUCUUUUAUAUGGGAAUAAAACGUUCCACGUGUGGGAUUUUGUAUGUACCAUAUGAAUAAGGAUCGGCUAACUCCGUGCCAGCAGCCGCGGUAAUACGGGGGAUCCGAGCGUUAUCCGGAUUUAUUGGGGUUAAAGGGAGCGUAGGGGGAUGGUUAAGUCCGUUGUGAAAGUUUGCGGCUCAACCGUAAAAUUGCAGUUGAAACUGGCAGUCUUGAGUACAGUAGAGGUGGGCGGAAUUCGUGGUGUAGCGGUGAAAUGCUUAGAUAUCACGAAGAACUCCGAUUGCGAAGGCAGUUCACUGGACUGCAACUGACACUGAGGCUCGAAAGUGUGGGUAUCAAACAGGAUUAGAUACCCUUGUAGUC
rnacentral:rRNA from 1 species